AAUGUUCUAGUGGUGUCAGGCCUACGCCCUGCUAGUUUGUACAGGCUGGAGGUACAGGCCAUCACAACGGAGGGUGAAGGUCCUACAGCCAGGAGAACCUUCCAGACCCCUGGAUACCAAAGCACCUUACUGCACAGAUCAAGGCUGAGGAAGCAUCCUGAGCAACCAAUCACUGACAGACACUGAGACCAGACGGCCUCAUGACCCGAGCUCCCAAAACAAUAAAGAAGAAGCCACAGAGCAGCGGUGCUAACUGACAAAUGGCAGCUUGUCAGUUACAACAAGACAACAAGUGACAGCUGACAGACAUGUGAAUCCCUCCCUGCAGUUUUACCGAACUUGACCCUCAAGUAAGCAUGUAUACAACAUAUUUCAGUAAAAGUACGGACACAACUUUCACCAACAGGAAGAUAAACAAAAAGCUCUCUUUGUGUUUUCAGUUCUUUUUACUUCUGUUUGCUACAGUUAUAUGUAAAAAAUAAAUACAAAAGCAUGAAAUGGAUUUAGUCGACAACGACAUCAGAGAUGAAAAAGAUA